rnacentral:rRNA from 1 species
GAUGAACGCUGGCGGCGUGCCUAAUACAUGCAAGUCGAGCGGUAAGGCCCCUUCGGGGGUACACGAGCGGCGGACGGGUGAGUAACGCGUGGGAAUCUACCCCAAACUGAGGGAUAAGCCAGAGAAAUUUGGUCUAAUACCGCAUAUGGUCUUCGGAUUAAAGCUUCGGCGGUUUGGGAAGAGCCCGCGUAAGAUUAGCUAGUUGGUAAGGUAAUGGCUUACCAAGGCGACGAUCUUUAACUGGUUUGAGAGGAUGAUCAGUCACACUGGAACUGAGACACGGUCCAGACUCCUACGGGAGGCAGCAGUAAGGAAUAUUCCACAAUGGGCGAAAGCCUGAUGGAGCAACGCCGCGUGCAGGAUGAAGGUUUUCGGAUUGUAAACUGCUUUUAUAUGUGAAGAAUAUGACGGUAGCAUAUGAAUAAGGAUCGGCUAACUCCGUGCCAGCAGCCGCAGUAAAAC